UUACGUUGUAGAUGCCUAUGGGUUCCAGU
rnacentral:sRNA from 1 species